CUUUAGCAAAACCCAGAAUAAUCCAGGACUAAUGGUUCCCCACGGCGAGAGCUCCAGCACCAUCGCAUGGCUCCCGCCCGAGAAUCACCACUUCCUCGCCCUUCUUAAUUGUUUGGCAGACUCUUCAAUUGUUUGAAGUUCUGCCCUGAGAAGUCAAAGCCUGAAAAACCUCCAUUGAAGAACAUGCAGCGAUGGGUUCAAUGGCUCUGCGAGACCUCGAGAAUAAAGAAAACUAGCGAACUUGAGAAGACAUGUUUUCCCCUCACUCCCCCACCCUUCAGUGAAACCUAACACGAGCUUCACACUUGCUGUGUGUUUGAAUCCCUAAGGCCAAAAAAGUAUACUAUUCAGCUUGGAGAAAACGAGCUCGUGCUAAAGGUUCUCCCUUGCCUGCCUUCUAAUUCGGGGGGGCAUUUGAAGGAAUUGGAUCUGUUAAAUGAGGAUGCGAAUGUUUAUAAUUUAAUCGGGCCAGUGCUCGUCAAACAGGACGUGGCCAAGGCCAAUGCCAAAGCAACGCCAACAUCCGAAGCUUUUGGAUGGUACACUUCAUGAUUAGAGGAAAAACAAAACAGCAAGAAGUGAUAUUUAAGGUACAACAAAGAGUUCAGUCUCUCCAAGCUGGAAAAGGCAAUGCAUAAUAUACCGAAUCUGCACGAAAAUUUCUUCAUUUCUACAGUCGACGUGUUGUGGCCGCCAGAACAGGAUAAUAUCGUAGGUUAUUUGUGAAGUUAGAUGUUCAAUUUCCAUAUCAAUGUUUUUUUAUGCUUGUUCGGUUUUUGUAGAUCUUGUUUCUCCAAAGAUCAAUUGACUGUUGGGCACUUGUUAUGGCCGAUUUGUACUCUUGAAAAAUUCGGCAUGUUUGGUGAAGGGGAUUAAAUAACAAGAAAUAUAAGUUAAAAUCUUAUUUGUUGU